GACGAACGCUGGCGGCGUGCUUAACACAUGCAAGUCGAACGAAGAGCGAUGGAAGCUUGCUUCUAUCAAUCUUAGUGGCGCACGGGUGAGUAACGCGUAAUCAACCUGCCCUUCAGAGGGGGACAACAGUUGGAAACGACUGCUAAUACCGCAUACGAUCUAAUCUCGGCAUCGAGGAUAGAUGAAAGGUGGCCUCUACAUGUAAGCUAUCACUGAAGGAGGGGAUUGCGGCUGAUUAGCUAGUUGGAGGGGUAACGGCCCACCAAGGCGAUGAUCAGUGGCCGGGCUGAGAGGAUGAACGGCCACAAUGGGACUGAGACACGGCCCAGACCCCUACGGGAGGCAGCAGUGGGGAAUCUUCCGAAAUGGACGAAAGUCUGACGGAGCAACGCCGCGUGAGGGAUGACGGCCUUCGGGUUGUAAAGCUCUGUUAAUCGGGACGAAAGGCCUUCUUGCGAAUAGUGAGAAGGAUUGACGGUACCGGAAGAGAAAGCCACGGCUAACUACGUG
rnacentral:rRNA from 1 species